rnacentral:SRP_RNA from 1 species
UAUAGUAUUCAAUAAUAUUUUAAAACAACUUAUUUUGUCAGGAUCGUAAGAUAGCAGCAUAAAGUUUAAAUAAAAAAUUUGUAUUAAUACUAUAUCU